UUCUGGGCAGCUGUUGGAUGCAAGCCAGUCCUCUAUGCAAUCAGCUACAACACUGAGUGCAGGCCACCCGCACAUUCUCUGGGGAACAGCAUCUUCUCCAACUGAAGCCUCGGCCAUUAAUGAAAACAAAACUAAUUGUAACUUUAACAUUUCACAGCCUGUAAUUUGUACCCACUCCUUUCCUGGACUUCCCAGCGGAAUAUUACUGUCUGACACCAUCCUCCUUACCCCUCAGUAAUACAUUUAUUAAAUGGAUCACAAUAGACCGAGACUGAAACUGUGGGACUGAGGAAGUUUUGAGAAUUAGCUUCAAGCGGAAGCCAGAGACGAAUAGCGAAAGGGAGAGAGCUACUGUGAGCAAGUCUUUACCCGCAGAGGAAAAGAGAGAGAGAGAGGUAGAUAUGCGGGUCAGCUUUGGGACGUCCCAUUAAACAUCAGAGCACUGUCAGUGACUACACAAUACGGAGCUACCAGGACUCUCUUCAAUCCAGACGCGGGUCACAUCACCCUUCAAGGGCACGCCGCAGAAACCGUCCAAAGGGAGGGAAAAAUAUGCAGGAAUUCCGGUCACGUUUGGGAGAACCUGUUUGCUGGACUAAACUGCUGGAGCGUAGCCCUUUUCUCUAGAAGGUGAAGUUUCACCUACAAGCAGAAAUUUCAGCUGCUAAGACAUGCCUCUACUGGAAACAGUCAUUCAGAGGAAGAUCCACUCCUUGCACAAACACUUUUGCUGUUUAAUGGAUAAGGAAGAGCUCAAGAUAAAAGUCAGAAUUGCACUUAUCUUGACUUCAGGACGUUCCAGGCAAUUUACAGCCAGUGAAGCAUUAUGAAGUGUCAUCACUGUUGUAAUGGUAUUGUUUGUACAUGGCAAAUUCUCAGAGGAGAAGCUGUUAAAUAAUCUGCUUCAGUGAUGUUAGGGAUUAAAUAUUGGCUAGAAUACGGAGGAACGCUCCUCUCUCCUGGAAUGCGUGCUAUAUAUUUCGGCAGUGCAACUUGUAGAUAGUAAACGUUGCUACUACUGAGCUUCAGUGUUGGAGGUAGUGAAUGUUUGUGAAUGUGAUGCCAUUCAAGUGGGCUGUU